AUGGGAGCGACUUACGCCAACGUCGCGUUGCUCGGCCUUGUCCUGGCCGUGGCGGCCGCGCUGCUGGCGUGCCAGUGCGCGGCGCAGGCUCCAUCUGGUGGCGGCGGCGGCUCUGGGUGCAUGCCGGAGCUCGUGAGCCUGUCGCCGUGCAUGGGCUACAUGUCAGGCAACGCGACGGCGCCCGGGGAGCCGUGCUGCGCGGCGGUGUCCGGCGUGCUGCGGUCCAGCCCGCGGUGCCUCUGCGCGGUGCUUGGCGGCACGGCGGCCACGCUCGGCGUGGCCGUGGACGGCGCCCGCGCGCUGCAGAUGCCCGCGGCGUGCAAGGUCCAGGCCCCGCCCGCCAGCCAGUGCGACGCCAUGGGAGCUCCGAUGUCUUCUCCGGCGGCGCCCUACGAUCCCGACGUGCCCCCUGCAGGUACGUGCAUGCAGAACCUCCUCCAAAUAUUCUGUACACAGGCCGUGGAAUUUACGUGGAGCUCAUGGGGGCAUCAUUUUCUGACGGACGCAGGGUCUGGAUCGAAGGCCACUCCAACACCUCAGUACUCCCACGGGAACGUCAACGGAGCAGGAAGAAGAACUCUGGCCUUUGCCGUCGCCGUUGUAGCAAUCGCUCUGACACUGGUUCCUGAGAUCUUUUGA
rnacentral:rRNA from 1 species